rnacentral:misc_RNA from 1 species
CUUGCCUUGAAAAAUGCGACCCUGCAAGAAGAACAUAUCAAUGCAAAUGAUAUAAGUAAAAUUUUAUGAUCUGACUACAAACAGUAUCAUACCUGAACAGGUCUGCCUUUCAGUGAGUUGGACAUUGUAUUGGCCAACCGAACAGCUAUCUUCUGGUCCUCCUGCAUAGGAUGAUUAGGAAAGCAAAAAGUUUAUGGAACAAAAACUGACCAUCAAUAUAAUAUAAGACAUCAAAGAUAUAAAUAAGCUUGAACAUGGCAUCAGCUAGAAAAAAAAUAAUUAAAUACAUAAAAAUAUUUUUCGAGAAAAGAGCACAUUUUACUAUAGCACCAUGAUUCAACAACUCCUUCAUUACCAUAUGGUGAAAGUCAUCAGGCACAAAAAAUAUUCUUAUAUGCCACUAAUAAGGCUGGAAUUUAUCAGAUAGAUACCUAGCAUGACAAAGUUGCAGAACAAAAUCUUACAUUCUAUAUUCUUGAUUUGAUAGGAAACAAAGAACAAUGCAGUUGUGAACAAUAACACAUUUCAAAAAUCAAAUACUUCAUACAGUAAAAGAACAAACUAAAAACAAAUGAACCAAAAUGAUUGAGCCACAUAGUCCACAAAGCAAGAAAUUGACCAACUAAAUGAAGCACAGAUGCUCUAUAAAAAUUAAUGGGAAAAGAAAUAUUUCAAGAGUACUGGUCCAGAACUCCAGAUAUUACGUGGUUAAGUGUUGGAUGAAGGAAGACCAAAAGCUGUGAUACACAUUCAGGUAGAAAUGGAAGAAAGCAGAUCAAGGAAGCACUGAUCUUUAGAUUUCUACAGUCUUAAUUAAGAAAAGGUGGAAGUAAAGAAAAAAAGAAAUCUCAGACACAGUUCCAGACAACACAGUGGUGUACUAAAAUAUCCAGUAGAAAUGAAUCAUAUCCAAACUUAGAGCACAACAGGUAACACCACCAUUUCUUCACAUUCCCAUCAGAACAAACUCAUAUCCAGAUCAUAAAAGUUGUUGAAUAUGUAUGCUUUUGUUUUCAAUACAAAGGCAUGCUAUAAUAGAAGCAAUUUGACAGCUCAGAUAACAUUACUUGUGAUAUUGAUCUGUGUCAAUGACAUUAUUAUUAACAUAUACUUUCAAUUAUCCUGAACACAAAUAUUAACAAUAUAAUUACCUCUAUGCUAUCUUUUCCAAACCAACAACACAAAAGGUAAUCUUCUUUCCUGUCACCUGAGUGAUAGGUGUAAAGUAUGAUAUAGCAAUCCCCACUAUAAAAUUUACCAAUAUCAUCCUUAGGCAAUGGAGUCUUUGCGCUACCAUUGAUGCACCAUACCUGUAAAACAAACAAUAUUCAAUAUUCUGAAAGACACCAGUGUACGAAGCAAAAUA